rnacentral:rRNA from 1 species
AGGAUGAACGCUGGCGGCGUGCCUAACACAUGCAAGUCGAGCGAGAAACCUAGAUUUGACACUUCGGUAGAAAAUCCAAGGUGGAAAGCGGCGGACGGGUGAGUAACGCGUAGGCAACCUGCCCUACACAGAGGGAUAGCCACUGGAAACGGUGAUUAAAACCUCAUAAAGCUAAAGAAACACAUGUAGCUAUAGCCAAAGAUUUAUCGGUGUAGGAUGGGCCUGCGUCUGAUUAGCUAGUUGGUGGGGUAACGGCUCACCAAGGCGACGAUCAGUAGCCGACCUGAGAGGGUGAACGGCCACAUUGGAACUGAGACACGGUCCAAACUCCUGCGGGAGGCAGCAGUGGGGAAUAUUGCACAAUGGGCGAAAGCCUGAUGCAGCAACGCCGCGUGAGCGAUGAAGGUCUUCGGAUUGUAAAGCUCUGUCCAAGAGGAAGAAAGAAAUGACGGUACUCUUGGAGGAAGCCCUGGCUAAAUACGUGCCAGCAGCCGCGGUAAUACGUAUGGGGCAAGCGUUAUCCGGAAUUAUUGGGCGUAAAGAGUGCGUAGGUGGUUACCUAAGCGCGGGGUUUAAGGCAAUGGCUCAACCAUUGUAUGCCUUGCGAACUGGCUACUGAGGCAGAGAGAACG